rnacentral:rRNA from 1 species
UACGGAGGGGGCUAGCGUUGUUCGGAAUUACUGGGCGUAAAGCGUACGUAGGCGGCUUUGUAAGUUAGAGGUGAAAGCCCGGGGCUCAACUCCGGAAUUGCCUUUAAGACUGCAUCGCUUGAAUCAUGGAGAGGUGAGUGGAAUUCCGAGUGUAGAGGUGAAAUUCGUAGAUAUUCGGAAGAACACCAGUGGCGAAGGCGACUCACUGGACAUGUAUUGACGCUGAGGUACGAAAAGCGUGGGGGAGCAAACAGGG